rnacentral:tRNA from 2 species
CGCGGGAUGGAGCAGUGGUAGCUCGUCGGGCUCAUAACCCGAAGGUCACAGGUUCGAGUCCUGUUCCCGCAA